UGUUGUUAUGUGGUCAGACUUGGAUCAUCUAGUGGUGAUGGCAGCAAAGGUAAAGUGGAUCGUUCAGUGAUGAAGUGUUCAAUCCAUUGAUUAUCAGGUCCAUUGUAAGUGCAGAUAAGUGGUGUAGAGACAUUGGUCCUUCCUGAAUCAUUUCUCAAUUAUAGAGUGAGCUUUAAUUCCCUUGUUAUUGGUGGAGGAGCAAGAUGUAAG
rnacentral:lncRNA from 1 species